rnacentral:rRNA from 1 species
AUUGAACGCUGGCGGCAGGCCUAACACAUGCAAGUCGAACGAGUGGCGGACGGGUGAGUAAUGUCUGGGAAACUGCCUGAUGGAGGGGGAUAACUACUGGAAACGGUAGCUAAUACCGCAUACCAUCGGAUGUGCCCAGAUGGGAUUAGCUAGUAGGUGGGGUAAAGGCUCACCUAGUCGACGAUCCCUAGCUGGUCUGAGAGGAUGACAAGCCAGACUGGAACUGAGACACGGUCCAGAAUCCUCAGGGAGGCAACAGUGAGGAAGAUUGCACAAUGGGCGCAAGCCUGAUGCAGCCAUGCCGCGUGUAUGAAGAAGGCCUUCGGGUUGUAAAGUACUUUCAGCGGGGAGGCGUUACCCGCAGAAGAAGCACCGGCUAACUCCGUGCCAGCAGCCGCGGUAAUAC